rnacentral:lncRNA from 1 species
GUCGGGCCCUGGAGAAGAUUGACCUGAAGUUCAUUGACACCACCUCCAAAUUUGGCCAUGGUCGCUUCCAGACCAUGGAGGAGAAGAAAGCAUUUAUGGGACCACUCAAGAAAGAUCGCAUUGCCAAGGAGGAAGGAGCUUGAUUCCAGGACCACUUUGUGCAGAUGGUGGGGUCUCACCAAUAAAAUAUUUCUACUAACA